GUCGCAAGACCAAAGUGGGGGACCUUCGGGCCUCAUGCCAUCAGAUGUGCCCAGAUGGGAUUAGCUAGUAGGUGGGGUAACGGCUCACCUAGGCGACGAUCCCUAGCUGGUCUGAGAGGAUGACCAGCCACACUGGAACUGAGACACGGUCCAGACUCCUACGGGAGGCAGCAGUGGGGAAUAUUGCACAAUGGGCGCAAGCCUGAUGCAGCCAUGCCGCGUGUGUGAAGAAGGCCUUCGGGUUGUAAAGCACUUUCAGCGGGGAGGAAGGCG
rnacentral:rRNA from 2 species